rnacentral:rRNA from 1 species
UACAGAGGUCUCAAGCGUUGUUCGGAUUUACUGGGCGUAAAGCGCGUUCAGGCGGUUUGGCAAGUCGGGCAUGAAAUCUCUCGGCCCAACCGGGAGAGGUUGUCCGAUACUGCUGGACUUGAGGGCAGUAGAGGGUGGUGGAAUUCCGGGUGUAGUGGUGAAAUGCGUAGAUAUCCGGAGGAACACCAGUGGCGAAAGCGGCCACCUGGACUGCACCUGACGCUGACACGCGAAAGCUAGGGGAGCGAACGGG